AGUGAACGCUGGCGGUAGGCCUAACACAUGCAAGUCGAACGGCAGCACAGUAAGAGCUGGCUCUUACGGGUGGCGAGUGGCGGACGGGUGAGGAAUACAUCGGAAUCUACUUUUUCGUGGGGGAUAACGUAGGGAAACUUACGCUAAUACCGCAUACGACCUACGGGUGAAAGCAGGGGAUCUUCGGACCUUGCGCGAUUGAAUGAGCCGAUGUCGGAUUAGCUAGUUGGCGGGGUAAAGGCCCACCAAGGCGACGAUCCGUAGCUGGUCUGAGAGGAUGAUCAGCCACACUGGAACUGAGACACGGUCCAGACUCCUACGGGAGGCAGCAGUGGGGAAUAUUGGACAAUGGGCGCAAGCCUGAUCCAGCCAUACCGCGUGGGUGAAGAAGGCCUUCGGGUUGUAAAGCCCUUUUGUUGGGAAAGAAAAGCAGCAGGUUAAUACCCCGCUGUUCUGACGGUACUCAAAGAAUAAGCACCGGCUAACUUCGUG
rnacentral:rRNA from 1 species